GGAGCAGGGCAAGCGUUUAGGCAGGCUGGGGAGGGGUGAGGGGGAUACCCAGGGACGCACCCUCCCGUUUCUCAUUCGUCUCUAGCUGCAGUCAGAAGCAGUGUAUGCACUGCUAAGGCCAGGGCCCCUGGAGUCAAACUGCCUUCGCGGAAACCCUUGGCCUCCCCUUACCCAGCAGUGGGCCCUGGGGGCUCACUAAGUUUCCCAUCUCUAAAAUGGGAAUAGUAAUACUUACCUCAUUGGGUCACCGUGGGGACUCGGUGAACGUACAUAAGGCACUGAGGACGGUUGUAAGCACAUGAUAAGCACAAUAAAAAUGUUAGCUCUCGGCAAGACGACUCACCAGCACCCUACCUGGAUAGAAGAGUUUAGGUGAGAAUUUCAGGAUGAUUCAUCAUACUCCUCGCCUAUUCACUCACCCCACAAUAUCCUUUCAGAGUAACAACUGCCGUUUAUUGGCAGUUAUGCCAGGCAGUAUGCGAAACCUGUGAUUUCCAUGAUCUCAAUUAAUCCGCAGAUCAACCCUGUGAAGUAGGUACUAUUAUUGUUCCUCUCUCAUGGUUGAGGCUUACACAAGAUUAAGUCAUUUAUCCCAGGUCACGCAGUUAAUGACAGAAGUGCGUCCCACGCUCAUUCCUGUCUGGUGCCAAAGAUGAAGCUUUUUACUACUACUCAAUAUUCUACCUCCUCUUGAAGCCAGUUAAAAACAACAAACACAGCCCCUCAACAAACACAGGCUCCCAAAGGAGCCACAGGCAUCAGCCGUGCUCACUGUAAUUCUACAGGACCCACCCCUUACAGAAACCAUGGUCUGUAGAGUGAGAUUUCUUUCUGCUCUUACGUGGCACAAAAGAGAGAAUUUUACAGAUGUCUCCCUGCUCCCCUGCAAAGUGCUUUGACUGACACAGAGGCCUCUACACAUUAAAGCUAAGUUAGCCAUGGAGCCUUUAAGGGCCACCUUCCCCUCUUCCUGUUUCUUCUGAACCUCAAGGCCACCCAUCUGGGCAGGCGGGGGACCUGCAUCUCAGGCAUGUGCGUUAACUUAACUUCUGGGCCAUCCCGGAUGUAAUGCAAGGGCUCAGUGACUCAGGCCAGUCUAUCUGGGAUUUGUCCUCUCUUGGCAUGUGAGAGUCUGUGCAGCAUUGACAUCUUUUGGCCAUGAAUGAAACAACAGGAACCAACCUACAAAUGCAGAAUCCCAGAAAGUCAGGGCCGGAAGAGGCUGUAGGAAGUUAAAAAACGAAACUUCACCAAGGGAAGGGUCUUGAUGAGGAUCACAUUGAGAGGAAGGAAGGUGACCAGAUUUAAGCCCUUUUUUAACUUCCAUACCUUCCUGGUACCCUCUGCUCCCAGAGGUGCUGAGCUGGGAGGGGUGGGAGUGGGCAGCCAGGUUGCUAAGCUUGUGCAUUCAGUCAGGUGUCUCUUUCUUCCCCUCCCCAGCAUGUGAUUAUCCUCUAAAACAAGACUUCUCAACCUCAGCAUAGCCCAGACAUUUAGGGUUGGAUCAUUCCUUGUUGUGGCAGCGGUCCUGUGCAUUGUCUGAUGCUGAGCACAAUAUUUGUCCACUACCCACCACCCACUGGUUUCCAGUAACACUUCCUUCUCCCACUCUGUUGCAUGACAACCAAAAAUGUCUUCAAACAUCAUGAAAUAUCUCCUGGGGGACAAAAUUUCUCCCCUCUCUCCCUUCUGUUGAGAACCACUACUCCAAAAGCAGACUCCUUCCUCCUUCCCUUCCUGGAACACAUCUUAAGAGCUUGGUAUAUGCCAUGCUUUGCUGGCUCAUGAAUCAAGCCCUGGCUCUGUCCUUAAACAAUUCAGAGUCUAGCUGAGGAGACAAGGCCCACACAGGUGGCAAAGAUGGGAAGCCUCUCCACAGAGACAAGGGCGAGGUGCCCAAAGGAGCACAGGGGCAGAUGCCUCACUGUCUGGGGAGAUGUGAGGAAGCGUCACAGAAGGACAGAUGGCAAUUUCUCAGGCAGGCAAGGUGGGUAAAGGACAUUCCAGGCAGAAGAAAUGGAAUGUACAAAGGUAAAGAGUUGUGAAGUGUGAAGUUUUGGGGAAAAAUAUUUUAGUAUGACUGUACUCCAGAGUGCACAUGAGGAGAGAUUAAGGAAAGGGGCUGGAGAGUCAGGCAGCACAAGUUGAUGAUAGUGUUGUUGGUGGUGGUGAUGAUGGUGGUGAUGAUGAAGAUGAUGAUGGUGGUGGUGACGAUGGUGGCUAACACAUAUAGAGCACUUAGCGUAUGCCAGACAUUGUUCCAAGUAUUUCUCAUACAUUAUCUCUUAAUUUUCAUGGCAAUCCUUUGAGGAAGGUGCUAUCAUUACCUCAGUUUACAUAUGGGAAAAAUGUUGCAGAGAGAUGAAGUAACAUGCCAAAGUCACAUAGCUUGUGAAGGUUCCUUGUGAGCCCUGAGAAAUUUGGCUAUGGAGAGCUAAGGGUGUUUGUUUGUUUUUGAGAUAGAGUCUCACUCUGUCGCCCAGGCUAGAGUGCACUGGUGUGAUGUUGGCUCACCGCAACCUCCGCCUCCCAGGUUCAAUCUCCUGCCUCAGCCUCCUGAGUAGCAGGGAUUACAGGUGUGUGCCACCAUGCCUGGCUAAUUUUUGUAUUUUUAGUGGAGAUGGGGUUUCACCAUGUUGGCCAGGCUGGUCUCGAACUCCUAAGCUCAGAUGAUCCACCUGCCUCAGCCUCCCAAAGUGCUGGGAUUACAGGCGUGAGCCACCUCACCUGGCCGAGCCAAGGAUCUUAAGUAGAGCAGCAACAUGAUCAGUGUUUCAGUUAUUUUUAGCUGUAUAAUAAACCACCAAAAACGUACUUGCCUACCACCAGCGUUUUAUGAUAGCUCAUGAUUCUGUGGGUUGGCUGGGGCUCAGCUGGGUUGUUCUUCCACUAGUCUGGCUUUUGCAGUGGCAGUAACAUGGUGGAUGGGGAUGCUAGUUGGGGCUGGAUGUCUACUAUCUUGAAGUUUCUUUUCUUUUCUUUUCUUUUUUUUUUUUUUUUUGGGACGGAGUCUCGCUCUGCCACCAGGCUGGAGUGCAGUGGCGCGAUCUUGGCUCACUGCAGUCUCCGCCUCUCGAGUUCAAGCAAUUCUCCUGCCUCAGACUCCCGUGUAGCUGGGACUACAGGCAUGCACCAGCAUGCCCAGCUAAUUUUUUGUAUUUUAGUAGAGACAGGGUUUCACUGUGUUGGCCAGGAUGAUCUUGAUCUCCUGACCUCGUGAUCCAUCCGGCUCGGCCUCCCAAAGUGCUGUGAUUACAGGUGUGAGCCACCAUGCCCAGCCAUCUAUUUUCUUUUUUUUUUUUUUUUUUUGAGAUGGAGUCUCACUCUGUCACCCAGGCUGGAGUGCAGUGGCAUGAUCUCAGCUUACUGCAACUUCUGCCUCCCUGGUUCAAGCGAUUCUCCCACUUCAGCCUCCCGAGUAGCCAGGAUUACAGGUACCCACCACCACGC
rnacentral:lncRNA from 1 species